GUGUCAGCAGCCGCGGUAAUACGGAGGGUGCGAGCGUUAAUCGGAAUUACUGGGCGUAAAGCGCACGCAGGCGGUUUGUUAAGCUAGAUGUGAAUCCCCCGGGCUCAACCUGGGAAUUGCAUUUAAAACUGUCCAGCUAGAGUCUUGUAGAGGGGGGUAGAAUUCCAGGUGUAGCGGUGAAAUGCCUAGAGAUCUGGAGGAAUACCGGUGGCGAAGGCCCCCCCCUGGACAAAGACUGACGCUCAGGUGCGAAAGCGUGGGGAGCAAACAGGAUUAGAAACCCCCGUAGUCC
rnacentral:rRNA from 1 species